UGUUGUGUACAAUGAAUAGUUUUAUUAUAAAGGAUAAAAUUAUUGUUUGUGUUUAGACAAAAAGGAAGGAGGUGAAAUUACUCAAAAUAAGCCUUUUCUUUUGUCUUCCCCAAUUUCUGCAGCCCCUCACCCAUGGACAAAAGCUCAGCACGAGAGUUUAGGCACAUGCGGUCCCGAGGAAUCAAAAAACGCAGCAGUAGACUGCCAUCAGGAGUGUGAAUUCAUUUGACUCAGACCUGUGCAGAUUUACAGAACAAAAAUUCUCAAAAUAUUAUUCAUGAAAAUAAACAAUGAAGUUUGCUGCAUCUGUUCUUGUCAAACCCCUCCUUAAUAGCAUUUCUCUGAAAUCACACAUGAUUCACUGCCUUCAUGACUGACCCAGGAUAAAAUGACAACCUUAAAAUAUAUUCUGACCAAUUCGUAUCAAAUUACACAACCAGCACAGAGAAAGACGGUAGGCUACACACAUAUACUUCGUGUAAAUUAUCAACCAAGGCAUUAAUCUCAGUUGUGCUGCUGCUGCCACCUGGCUGAAGAGAAAGAUGGCAUCACAACAAACAACAGAUAGAGAAAAAUGAAUUGGCAGCAGAGUGUUUGGCAAACUGAAAAUGACCUAUAUUAGGGGUAUAACAACAGAGAGCCAGUGAAAUAAGGAUCUGGGAAGGAAUAGAGCGACGAGGAUGCCUGCAGUGGGUGGGGAGAGGAAACAAAAGCGCCAUUUUGAUGAGAGAUUAGUUUGAUUAGUCCACAGCUGUGGCCAUUGAGAGAAACUGAAGGAAUGAUGAGGAAACCGAUGCAUUAAUAACACAGCUGUUGUGUAAAAAUUCAGGCUCUGGUUUUCAACCUUUUUGUCUUCAAGACCUCCAUUGUCCACAACAAUAUUUAAAGUCCGACAUUUUCAGUGUGGUUAUUAUUCUUCAUCAAAAUUUCUGUUCCAGCUUUACCAAAGCGACAUGCCCUCUUGAGUCCACAAAUCUCAUUCUUCACAGCCGGGGUUGUAAGACACAUUCAGAGCACAGAAUGAGAGGCCCAGCUGGGCUUGACAUUGAAAAUAUGUGUCUGUGUGUGGGGGGAGAGAAUUACUGUAUAUUUUCAUCUGGGAAGAGGACACCUGUUCGGGAAUGAGGAAGAGAAAGGGGGGCAGUAUUAAUGGGCACUGACAAGCUGGAACCUUCCAGCACUGUAUGCAGCAAAAAAGUAACAGGGAAAGCCUAUACCUGAAGACUGGAUCCUGUCUCAAACAUCCAUGGUUUCACCGGACUUUGUAUUAUCAAAACAUGUUAACUCUACUGUGACGCAGUUUGUUUAGCUAAUUCAGUGUACAAGAGAUUUGAUCAAACUGGUGGUGUGCACAAAAUUGAAGCAGUAUCACAUAAGCAAAUAUCCACCUUGUGUGGGAUAUAAUUAUUUUAUUUAUAUAUAGGCCAACAUGUAGACCCUUUAUUUGGCUUUAUUAAUACAGUUCUAUCAACACUUAUGGCGAGUUAUUUUAAAAUAUGCAGUUAUUUUCCGCCAAUAAAAAUUGUCCCUAAGAA